rnacentral:rRNA from 1 species
UUGCAUCGAUGAAAGAACGCAGCGAAAUGCGAUAAGUAAUGUGAAUUGCAGAAUUCAGUGAAUCAUCGAAUCUUUGAACGCACAUUGCGCCCCUUGGUAUUCCGAGGGGCAUGCCUGUUCGAGCGUCAUUUCAACCCCUCAAGCUUCGGCUUGGUGUUGGGCCGCGCCGCUGCACCAGCAGCUGGCGGGCCUCAAAAUCAGUGGCGGUGCCGUCUCGGCUCUAAGCGUAGUAACAUCUCUCGCUCUGGAGACCUGGCGGUGGCUUGCCAGACAACCCCCAACUUUCUUUAAGGUUUGACCUCGGAUCAGGUAGGGAUACCCGCUGAACUUAAGCAUAUCAUUAAGCGGAGGAAA